ACGGGUGAGUAAUGUAUCGGAACGUGCCCAAUCGUGGGGGAUAACGUAGAGAAAUUUACGCUAAUACCGCAUACGAUCUAAGGAUGAAAGCGGGGGAUCGCAAGACCUCGCGCGAUUGGAGCGGCUGAUAUCAGAUUAGGUUGUUGGUGAGGUAAAAGCUCACCAAGCCGACGAUCUGUAGCUGGUUUGAGAGAACGACCAGCCACACUGGGACUGAGACACGGCCCAGACUCCUACGGGAGGCAGCAGUGGGGAAUUUUGGACAAUGGGCGCAAGCCUGAUCCAGCAAUGCCGCGUGCAGGAAGAAGGCCUUCGGGUUGUAAACUGCUUUUGUACGGAACGAAACGGUUCUUUCUAAUAAAGAGAGCUAAUGACGGUACCGUAAGAAUAAGCACCGGCUAACUACGUGCCAGCAGCCGCGGUAAUACGUAGGGUGCGAGCGUUAAUCGGAAUUACUGGGCGUAAAGCGUGCGCAGGCGGUUAUGUAAGACAGUUGUGAAAUCCCCGGGCUCAACCUGGGAAUUGCAUCUGUGACUGCAUAGCUAGAGUACGGUAGAGGGGGAUGGAAUUCCGCGUGUAGCAGUGAAAUGCGU
rnacentral:rRNA from 3 species